CUGUUCAUUUCCAUGUGACAAAGAUGUUACAUGUGCAGAGCAUGUCCAAGGUACUGUGGGAGCACAUGGGGCAGGAGAAGAAAGAGCGUGGUGAAGCAGGAAGGAGCCUCACCCACCUCCAGCAUGUGGAAAGAAGAAUUUCUCAAGACUUUGAGUAAGAAGAAGGAGCAGCGACAGCAACAGUCCCCACUUGGACGGGACUGUAAUGAAAAUGAGGAUGACAGAAGCUGUAGUUGGGCACAGUAGUACAA
rnacentral:lncRNA from 1 species